UGGGGAAUUUUGGACAAUGGGCGCAAGCCUGAUCCAGCCAUGCCGCAUGCGGGAAGAAGGCCUUCGGGUUGUAAACCGCUUUUGUCAGGGAAGAAAUCUUCUGGGUUAAUACCUCGGGAGGAUGACGGUACCUGAAGAAUAAGCACCGGCUAACUACGUGCCAGCAGCCGCGGUAAUACGUAGGGUGCGAGCGUUAAUCGGAAUUACUAGGCGUAAAGCGUGCGCAGGCGGUUAUGCAAGACAGAUGUGAAAUCCCCGGGCUCAACCUGGGAACUGCAUUUGUGACUGCAUGGCUAGAGUGCGGCAGAGGGGGAUGGAAUUCCGCGUGUAGCAGUGAAAUGCGUAGAUAUGCGGAGGAACACCGAUGGCGAAGGCAAUCCCCUGGGCCUGCACUGACGCUCAUGCACGAAAGCGUGGGGAGCAAACAGGAUUAGAUACCCUGGUAGUCCACGCCCUAAACGAUGUCAACUGGUUGUUGGGAAGGUUCCUUCUCAGUAACGUAGCUAACGCGUGAAGUUGACCGCCUGGGGAGUACGGCCGCAAGGUUGA
rnacentral:rRNA from 1 species